UUCGCCCUUGGCAAGUCUGGUGCCAGCAGCCGCGGUAAUUCCAGCUCCAAUAGCGUAUAUUAAAGUUGUUGCAGUUAAAAAGCUCGUAGUUGAACCUUGGGCCUGGCUGGCCGGUCCGCCUCACCGCGUGCACUGGUCCGGCCGGGCCUUUCCCUCUGGGGAACCGCAUGCCCUUCACUGGGUGUGUCGGGGAACCAGGACUUUUACUUUGAACAAAUUAGAUCGCUUAAAGAAGGCCUAUGCUCGAAUACAUUAGCAUGGAAUAAUAGAAUAGGACGUGUGGUUCUAUUUUGUUGGUUUCUAGGACCGCCGUAAUGAUUAAUAGGGACAGUCGGGGGCAUCAGUAUUCAAUUGUCAGAGGUGAAAUUCUUGGAUUUAUUGAAGACUAACUACUGCGAAAGCAUUUGCCAAGGAUGUUUUCAUUAAUCAGGAACGAAAGUUAGGGGAUCGAAGACGAUCAGAUACCGUCGUAGUCUUAACCAUAAACUAUGCCGACUAGGGAUCGGACGAUGUUAUAUUUUGACUCGUUCGGCGCCUUACGGGAAAC
rnacentral:rRNA from 1 species